GGGGGUGCCAGGUCUCGACUCCGGACGUUGAGGCAAGGGAAGCGGGCCGAGGAAGGCAACAAUGAUCUCGUUAACCACGUGUUGCACAACUAAUAAGCGCCGACGUUAAGUCACAGCGCGAGCUCGCCCUUGCUGCCUAAGUAAGGCGCGGCUCUGUCAGACCGGGAGUGCCUCUGGCCCGGAUCCUGGCAUCGACUAAGAGGCUCACCGAACUCCUCGGCUAUCGGGGGAGGUCAGGGACAUCAAACAGUAGCUGGGCUCGUCACACCAGCUUGUUCACGUGACUGGUGGAGCCAAGUAGAGACACAGUGAACUGCGCCCGGAGAAGCCUUGUUGAGGCGACGGAGGACGCGGGUUCGAUUCCCGCCACCUCCACCA
rnacentral:tmRNA from 1 species